rnacentral:rRNA from 1 species
UACGGAGGGUGCAAGCGUUAUCCGGAUUCACUGGGUUUAAAGGGUGCGUAGGUGGGCAGGUAAGUCAGUGGUGAAAUCUCCGAGCUUAACUCGGAAACUGCCGUUGAUACUAUUUGUCUUGAAUAUUGUGGAGGUAAGCGGAAUAUGUCAUGUAGCGGUGAAAUGCUUGGAUAUGACAUAGAACACCAAUUGCGAAAGGCAGCUUACUACACAACGAUUGACGCUGAGGCACGAAAGCGUGGGGAUCAAACAGG